UGUUUCUAAGGGCAAACCCGGCGAAAACCGGGGACGCAAAGUCGUGAGUCUAAGAUAAUGUUUUUUGGCUCGAUCGAUUAUCUUAAUAUUAUGACUGUCUGACUGCUGAU
rnacentral:ncRNA from 2 species